GGGGGGGGGGGGGGGGGGGGGGGGGGGAGGGAGGGGGAAGGGGAGCGGGGGCGGGGGCGGGGGGGGGGGUGGGGAACGGGGGGGGAAGACGUCGGAGCGGGCGCAGUAGUGGGGGAGAGCGCGGCGAAAGCCGGAUUAAUACCGCCUCAGACCUGAGGGGGACAGAGGGGGAUCGUCGUACCGCGCACUAGUGGAGCGGCCGUUGGAGGGUUACAUAGUUGGUGGGGGAAAGGCCUACCAAGGCACCGAUGUGUGGCUGGGCUGAGCGGACGCGCGGCCCCACUGGCACUGCGACCCGGCCCAGCCUCCUACGGGAGGCAGCAGUGGGGAAUUUUCGACAAUGGGCGAAAGCCUGAUCCAGCAAUGCCGCGUGUGUGAUGAAGGCCUUCGGGUUGUAAAGCACUUUUGGCGGGAACGAAAAGGUCUGUGCCAAUACCACGGUUCGAUGACGGUACCCGCAGAAUAAGCACCGGCUAACUACGUG
rnacentral:rRNA from 1 species